GGGUCGGUGGCAGAGCGGUCAAAUGCAACAGACUGUAAAUCUGCCGGCAGGCUGGUCUGGCGGGUUACUCCCUUUGUAGGUUCGAUUCCUAUCCUGCCCA
rnacentral:tRNA from 1 species